GACGAACGCUGGUGGCGUGCUUAACACAUGCAAGUCGAACGGAAAGGCCCUGCUUUUGUGGGGUGCUCGAGUGGCGAACGGGUGAGUAACACGUGAGUAACCUGCCCUUGACUUUGGGAUAACUUCAGGAAACUGGGGCUAAUACCGGAUAGGAGCUCCUGCUGCAUGGUGGGGGUUGGAAAGUUUCGGCGGUUGGGGAUGGACUCGCGGCUUAUCAGCUUGUUGGUGGGGUAGUGGCUUACCAAGGCUUUGACGGGUAGCCGGCCUGAGAGGGUGACCGGCCACAUUGGGACUGAGAUACGGCCCAGACUCCUACGGGAGGCAGUAGUCGGGAAUAUUGCACAAUGGGCGGAAGCCUGAUGCAGCAACGCCGCGUGCGGGAUGACGGCCUUCGGGUUGUAAACCGCUUUCGCCUGUGACGAAGCGUGAGUGACGGUAAUGGGUAAAGAAGCACCGGCUAACUACGUG
rnacentral:rRNA from 1 species